CGGGUGAGUAACACGUAUCCAACCUGCCGUCUACUCUUGGACAGCAUUCUGAAAGGAAGAUUAAUACAAGAUGGCAUCAUGAGUCCGCAUGUUCACAUGAUUAAAGGUAUUCCGGUAGACGAUGGGGAUGCGUUCCAUUAGAUAGUAGGCGGGGUAACGGCCCACCUAGUCUUCGAUGGAUAGGGGUUCUGAGAGGAAGGUCCCCCACAUUGGAACUGAGACACGGUCCAA
rnacentral:rRNA from 1 species